rnacentral:rRNA from 1 species
GUGGGGAAUUUUGGACAAUGGGCGAAAGCCUGAUCCAGCAAUGUCGCGUGUGUGAAGAAGGCCUUCGGGUUGUAAAGCACUUUUGUCCGGAAAGAAAUGGCUCUGGUUAAUACCUGGGGUCGAUGACGGUACCGGAAGAAUAAGGACCGGCUAACUACGUGCCAGCAGCCGCGGUAAUACGUAGGGUCCAAGCGUUAAUCGGAAUUACUGGGCGUAAAGCGUGCGCAGGCGGUUGUGCAAGACCGAUGUGAAAUCCCCGAGCUUAACUUGGGAAUUGCAUUGGUGACUGCACGGCUAGAGUGUGUCAGAGGGGGGUAGAAUUCCACGUGUAGCAGUGAAAUGCGUAGAGAUGUGGAGGAAUACCGAUGGCGAAGGCAGCCCCCUGGGAUAACACUGACGCUCAUGCACGAAAGCGUGGGGAGCAAACAGGAUUAGAAACCCUGGUAGUCC